AGAAAAGAAAAGAUUUCACAACUCUCCUCCUUCUUUUUGUUUUGUUUUUUGGUUUUUGGUUGUUUCCCUUUCUCCAAACUCACCUCUUUUUUCGAUCCAUAAUUGAAAUUCCCCAAGAGAGAGCGGAAUCUGGUUGACAAAAACUAUUGAAAAGAUUUGUUUGUCAACAUA
rnacentral:ribozyme from 13 species